GUGAAUCAUCAAAUUUUUGAACGCAUAUUACACUCUCUGGUAUUCCGGGGAGUAUGCCUGUUUGAGGGUAAUUAAAAAGAAUCUUUAACCACUUUUUUUGAUCAAAGGAUAUGAGUUCUCCGCGUUUAUCGCUGUAGCUUGAAAUAAAUGGUCAAGUCUCAUUUUAGUCGAGACGCGUAAUAAUAUUAUUUCGCGAAAUCUUCAUUAUGUGACUAUCAAGUUUUGUUGCAUACAAAUUUGAUUCGUAUGCGAUCUAUACAAAUAUUUUGACCAUUACCUCAAAUCAGGUAUGAGUACCUG
rnacentral:misc_RNA from 1 species